rnacentral:rRNA from 1 species
UGCCUAAUACAUGCAAGUCGAGCGGUAAGGCUCCUGCAGUUUAUUUGACAAUCACCGACCUACUGGCUAGUAGGAAGGGUCGAAUAAAGUGCUGGAGUACACGAGCGGCGGACGGCUGAGUAACACGUAGGAACGUACCCCAAACUGAGGGAUAAGCACCAGAAAUGGUGUCUAAUACCGCAUGUGAUCUUCGGAUUAAAGCUUCGGCGGUUUGGGAACGGCCUGCGCAUGAUUAGCUUGUUGGUGAGGUAAUGGCUCACCAAGGCGACGAUCAUUAGCUGGUCUGAGAGGAUGAUCAGCCAGACUGGGACUGAGAACGGCCCAGACUCCUACGGGAGGCAGCAGUAGGGAAUUUUCCACAAUGGACGAAAGUCUGAUGGAGCAACGCCGCGUGCAGGAUGAAGGCUCUAGGGUCGUAAACUGCUUUUAUGUGUGAAGAUUAUGACGGUAGCACAUGAAUAAGGAUCGGCUAACUCCGUGCCAGCAGCCGCGGUCAUACGGAGGAUCCAAGCGUUAUCCGGAAUUACUGGGCGUAAAGAGUUGCGUAGGUGGCAUAGUAAGCAGGUAGUGAAAGCGUGGGGCUCAACCCUAUACACAUUAUCUGAACUGCUAAGCUAGAGGACAAGAGAGGUUAUUGGAAUUCCUAGUGUAGGAGUGAAAUCCGUAGAUAUUAGGAGGAACACCGAUGGCGUAGGCAGAUAACUGGCUUAUUCCUGACACUAAGGCACGAAAGCGUGGGGUA